rnacentral:tRNA from 1 species
GUGGGUAUAGCUCAGUGGCGAAGUGUGUGCCUAGCAUGCACGAGGUCAUGGGUUCAAUUCCCAGUACCUCCA